rnacentral:lncRNA from 1 species
GGCUGAGCCCUGACAGAGGUCACAUUGUCCUGGUUUUUACAUGACUCGUUAUGCACCAAAAACAUACCCAGUUGCUGGGGGAGAACUGGCCAACUCCACAAGGCACACUGUAGCGUUCCAGGAUGGCCUUGUGAAUUCCCUCAUGUGAACAAAGGUGGGAGAAAGAAACGGCCCCGCCUCUCUGCAUCUACCAGCCAGUUAGCUCCCUGCUCCUCCAGGACGGCAUGGGCUGCACAGAACAUUACUGAAAAGGACAGAAAAGGCCCAGAGGAUCCUCUGAAGCCUUUCCACCCGUCUAACGCUAACUCGCCCCUAACGGUGACGGACACCACCUGACGCCUGGCCUGCUGGGCUGGGGCCAAGGGCUACCUGAGGAGGGCAUGCCACCCCACUGGCAUCCUUGUUUCCUGAGUGCGUGGGGGCAGCCCGGGUGCCGGCAGCACUGGCUCGGUCUUUGGCAGGAGGUAAGGGCUGGGAGGCUUCUAGAAGCUUCUGAACGCCGUCCUGGGGCUGGAAGGGCUGGCCUGCUGUCCUCUGACCUCCUGGUUCCUUCCACGAGCUUCCAAACCGAGGCUGCAGGGAGACGACCAGGCCCCAUUCACGGGGCCUGAGGAAGGUGCUGGAGCGUUGGCCCCCUGAAGCUGGCUGCACCCGCUCCUGGACGCUGUCCUGCAGAUGCUGGCACGUGGGCCGGUCUUCUGUUUUCACUGCUGCUGUCUAAGGAAGGGUCAGAGAGGCGCAGCAACUUGUCCGGAGUCCCACAGCUCCAAGAGUGAGGCGGCGUUUGGACCUGACCUUGCCAGGCUGCAGCCCGUCUCGGCCCCCGACCCCUGGCUGCCUGAGAGGGCUUGGGCCCUCGGGGACACCCUCGCAGACCUGGGACAGGCCCUCCUCCCGCCCACCUCCCUCCGAGCCCGCACCCCGGAGUGCGAACAGAGACAGCCAUUCUCAAGAAGAUUCCGGCAGUGCGAAACCAGCUCUCCGCUCGGCCUCGAAGCUCUGCUCGUCCCUGACCCCUGCUCGUCACCAGUGCACGUCCCCCCCGGUUGUUUCCAG